rnacentral:rRNA from 1 species
UACAGAGGUCCCAAGCGUUGUUCGGAUUCACUGGGCGUAAAGGGUGCGUAGGUGGUGAGGUAAGUCGGAUGUGAAAUCUCCGAGCUCAACUCGGAGAUGGCAUUGGAAACUACCUUGCUCGAGGGUUGGAGGGGGGACUGGAAUGCUUGGUGUAGCAGUGAAAUGCGUAGAUAUCAAGCGGAACACCAGUGGCGAAGGCGAGUCCCUGGACAACUCCUGACACUGAGGCACGAAAGCUAGGGGAGCAAACAGG